GAUUAAUAAUUAUUUAUUAAUUUUUUUUUUGAAAAAUUUAAUUUAUUAAAAAUAAUUAUAAAUUUUAAUGUUUAAGUAUUUUAUAAAGAAAAAAUAAUUUUAAUAAUAGUGUAUUAGUAUUGUGAAAUAAAGUUGAAAUAUAAUGAAAAAUUUUUAUUUUGUAAGAAAAUUUAAUUUAUUGUAUCUUGUGUAUCAGAGUAUAUUAAAUAAAAAAUAUUUAAUUAUUUUUCUCGAUUUUAAAAGAUUUAAUAGAUUAUGAAUGUUUAUGUGACAAAAUGAUAUUUAAUAAUUUAUUAGAAAUGAAAUGUUAUUCGUUUUUAAAGGUAUCUAGUUUUUUAAGAAAUAAAUUUAAUUUAGAUUUUAAAAUUAUUUAUUUAAUUAAUUAAUUAAAUAAUUUUUAAAAAUUAAUAUUUUAUGGGAUAAGCUAUAAAAUAAAUUUUUAUAAAUAGUAAAUAAUAUAUAAAGUUAAAUAUGUUUAAAAGUAUCAAUUUUUAUUAAGUUUGUUAUAAAUUAAUUUUUUUAAUAAAUUAUUUAUUUUAUUUUAAUUUUUUAUUAAAAUAUUUAUUUGAAUUUUAAAAAUAAAGUAAUAAUGAUAUAAUUAGUAUAUAAGUUUUGUGAUUUUAUUUAUUAAAAUGUUAAGUUUAUGUAAAGAAUUCGGCAAAAAUAAUGUUCGCCUGUUUAACAAAAACAUGUCUUUUAGAAAUUAAUUUAAAGUCUAACCUGCCCAAUGAAUUUUUUUUUAAUGGCCGCAGUAUAUUAACUGUGCAAAGGUAGCAUAAUCAUUAGUCUUUUAAUUGAAGGCUGGAAUGAAUGGUUGGACGAAAUAUUAACUGUUUCAUUUGAAUUUAUAAUAGAAUUUUAUUUUUUAGUCAAAAAGCUAAAAUUUAUUUAAAAGACGAGAAGACCCUAUGAAUCUUUAUAUAUGUAUUAUUUUAAUUUUGUGGAUUAAUUUAAUUAUAAUAAUUUUAUAUAUUUUAUUGGGGUGAUAUUAAAAUUUAAAAAACUUUUAAUUUUUAGAUCAUUGAUUUAUGAAUAGUUGAUCCAUUUUUAAUGAUUAAAAAUUUAAGUUACUCUAGGGAUAACAGCGUAAUUUUUUUGGAGAGUUCAUAUCGAUAAAAAAGAUUGCGACCUCGAUGUUGGAUUAAGAUAUAAUUUUAGGUGUAGCCGUUUAAAUUUUAAGUCUGUUCGACUUUUAAAAUCUUACAUGAUCUGAGUUCAAACCGGCGUAAGCCAGGUUGGUUUCUAUCUUUAAUUAAUUUAUAUAUUUUAGUACGAAAGGAUUAAAUAUUUAAAUAAUUGUAUUUUAUCAAUAAGAAUAUGAUUAAAUUGACUAUUUUGGCAGAUUAAU
rnacentral:rRNA from 1 species